rnacentral:tRNA from 1 species
GAUAAACUUUUGAGGUUUUCUCCACCUCUAUUGACGUUGAGUCGUUUGUUU